CUCUUUCUGCCGUGUGAGGAUAAGAAGUCAGCAGUCUGCAACCCAGAAGAGGGCCCUAACCAGAAAGCUAUUGUGGCCCUGAUCUGACGUCCAGCCUCCAGAACUAUAAGAAGUCAAUGUCUGUUGUUUACAAGCCACUGUCUUGACUUUUGUUACAGGAGCCCAAAUUAACUAAGACAGCCCUAUCUGAGGCUGGGCACAGUGGCUCAUGCCUGUAAUCCCAGCACUUUGGGAGGCUGAGGCAGACGGAUCACAAGGUCAGGAGUUUGAGACCAGCCUGGCCAACAUGGUGAAACCCCAUCUCUACUAAAAAUACAAAAACUAGCCAGGCAAGGUGGUGCAUGCCUGUAAUCCCAGCUACUCAGGAGGCUGAGUCAGGAUAAUUGCUUGAACCUGGGAAGCAGAGGCUACAGUGAGCCAAGACUGAGACACUGCACUCCAGCCUGGGCAACAGAGCAAGACUCCAUCUCAAAAAAAAAAAAAAAAAAAAAAAAAAGACAACCCCAUCUGGAGAAAACUAAAAAGGCUCAGUCUUUCCCCUGGGCCCAGAAUGCCCUUCUUCCCCCUGCCCUAGGAAAGCCCAGUCACCUCUGAGGAGGCAGCAACAUCCUGGCUCCUCCCACUUGCUUUCAGUGCAUCCCCACAUCCAUUCUCUCAUGGAACCCUGUGCACAUCUCUAUCUGAGCACCCGUAAGACUGUGUUCCGCUAGCUCAUGUGUUCAUCAUCUCCGUGUUGACUGUAAACUUCACUUUGUACCCUGUCCCCCAGAAUCCAGCACCUAAUCUGGCACACUGAAUGAAUGAAUGAGUGAAUCAAAGAAUGAGUGGGCAAGUAUUGAUCCCAAGCACAUUCCUCGUAAAUCUCCUGCAUACAAAUCUCCAUCUCAGAGCUAGCUUCUGGGAACCCUCAUGCUACAAGUCAUUAGGAACAUGGAUUUUGGACACUUCUAACAAGCCUGAGUUUUAGUCCUGGCUCUUGUACUUACUUGUACUGUGACUAGAGAAAAAUUACCUAACUUCUCAGGGGCUUCAUCUGCAAUAGAAAUGAAUUCAUUGAGUCAUGGGAGUUCAAUGAAAUGUUGUUUGAAGCACAUUUAGCACAGCACCUGGUACACUGAUAAGUGCUCACUAAAGGAUUAUUUGUAUCAUCAUCAAUAUUGCAUGGCCCUAGGCACAUGGCAAGGCUAUGGAACACACAGAAGCCAACUAGAUUGGCUACAAGGCCAGCCUCAAAAGAGGAAGAAACAGAUGUAUAUAAAAAAAUACAAAUGUGGCACCCGAGGCUCAGAGAGAGGUUCAGCAACUUACCCAGCAACACCCGGUCCACAAGUGAAACACCCCUUCAUUUCAGAAGUGAAUACUCCAGAGGGUCUCACUCUGUCACCCAGGCUGAAGUGCAGUGACAGGACCACUGCUCAUUGCAGCUUUGACCUCCUGGGCUAAGCCUCCAGAUUAACUGGGUCUCACUCUGUCACCAAGGCUGGAGUUCAGUGGCACGAUCUCAGCUCACUACAACAUACUCUGCCACUGGGAUUCCAACAAUUAUCCUGCCUCAGCCUCCCGAGUAGCUGAGAUUACAGGUGCACACCACCACAUCCGGCUAAUUUUUGUAUUUUUAGUAAAGAUGAGGUUACACCA
rnacentral:lncRNA from 1 species